rnacentral:rRNA from 1 species
GACGAACGCUGGCGGCGUGCCUAAUACAUGCAAGUCGAACAGUUGCGAACGGGUGAGUAACGCGUAGGUAACUGCCUCAUAGCGGGGGAGAACUAUUGGAAACGAUAGCUAAUACCGCAUAUUGUGAGAUGGACCUGCGUUGGAUUAGCUAUUUGGUGAGGUAAAGGCUCACAAAGGCGACGAUACAUAGCCGACCUGAGAGGGUGAUCGACCACACUUGGACUUGGACACGGCCCAGACUCCGACGUGGGGCAGCGGUAGGGAAUCUUCGGCAAUGGGCGGAAGUCUGACCGAGCAACGCCGCGUGAGUGAAAGAGGUUUUCGGAUCGUAAAGCUCUGUUGUUAUAGAAGCGGUACCUAACCAGAAAGGGCCGGCUAACUACGUGCCAGCAGCCGCGGUAAUUC